CGGGUGAGUAACACGUAUCCAACCUGCCGUCUACUCUUGGCCAGCCUUCUGAAAGGAAGAUUAAUCCAGGAUGGCAUCAUGAGUUCACAUGUCCGCAUGAUUAAAGGUAUUUUCCGGUAGACGAUGGGGAUGCGUUCCAUUAGCUAGUUGGCGGGGUAACGGCCCACCAAGGCAACGAUGGGUAGCCGGUCUGAGAGGAUGACCGGCCACACUGGAACUGGAACACGGUCCAG
rnacentral:rRNA from 1 species